CCUACGGGAGGCAGCAGUGGGGAAUUUUGGACAAUGGGCGCAAGCCUGAUCCAGCCAUGCCGCGUGCGGGAAGAAGGCCUUCGGGUUGUAAACCGCUUUUGUCAGGGAAGAAAUCCUUUGAGCUAAUACCUCGGGGGGAUGACGGUACCUGAAGAAUAAGCACCGGCUAACUACGUGCCAGCAGCCGCGGUAAUACGUAGGGUGCGAGCGUUAAUCGGAAUUACUGGGCGUAAAGCGUGCGCAGGCGGUCUUGCAAGACAGGUGUGAAAUCCCCGGGCUUAACCUGGGAACUGCACUUGUGACUGCAAGGCUGGAGUACGGCAGAGGGGGAUGGAAUUCCGCGUGUAGCAGUGAAAUGCGUAGAUAUGCGGAGGAACACCGAUGGCGAAGGCAAUCCCCUGGGCCUGUACUGACGCUCAUGCACGAAAGCGUGGGGAGCAAACAGGAUUAGAUACCCUGGUAGUCCACGCCCUAAACGAUGUCAACUGGUUGUUGGACGGCUUGCUGUUACNGUAACGAGCUAACGCGUGAAGUUGACCGCCUGGGGAGUACGGCCGCAAGGUUGAAACUCAAAGGAUUGACGGCUGAGACGNGCGAGACGACGACGAGGGAGGAGG
rnacentral:rRNA from 1 species